GUCAAGUCAUCAUGGCCCUUAUGUCCUGGGCUGCAAACAUGCUACAAUGGCCGGUACAGAGGGCUGCAAACCCGUGAGGGGGAGCCAAUCCCAAAAAGCCGGUCUCAGUUCGGAUCGGGGUCUGCAACUCGACCCCGUGAAGGUGGAGUCGCUAGUAAUCGCGGAUCAGCAAUGCCGCGGUGAAUACGUUCCCGGGCCUU
rnacentral:rRNA from 1 species